rnacentral:lncRNA from 10 species
CUUUCUCCAGGCUCCAUUCUCAGGCUCUAUCGGGUGGCGGGAAGCCUUCAGCAGCCCAGGCUCUACUUCCUGCCUAAUUGAGCCAAGCAGAAAGAGGGUGAAAGGCCUGGCUCCUGGAACUCACGGCAAUAAUCUCGGGAAAGGAGUCAUGGAAAGGGAGCAAAGCCAAACCCUGAACCAGCACAGGUAACUGUAGCCACCAGAGUUAACUGUGUGAAGAAUGUUUCCCCAGAGGACUUCUCACGUGUUGUGUAAAAGUAGAGAAAGAAGGCUAGGGUCUAAUUUACAACAUAAAAGAGCCUCAGGAAUAUAAGAGGCAUGGGAAGAAGUGAGACAGGUGUCCUUGAAAGAAAAUGCUCCAAAAUGUCUGAUCACCUUUACUCUCGUCUCCCCUUCCAUCUAACCCAGGUUCUCAAGCCCUGCACUUGACAAUCACCUGAGGAGCCAAAAAAGACCGACAGGUGCCUUUCACCAGUGAAGACUUUGAUUCCAUAGGCAGGUGGGGUCAAACAUGGGCAUUUUUAAUAUAUAUUUUUUAAUUUAAUUUAUUUUUUUUUUUUGAUACUGAGUCUCACUCCGCCGUCCAGGCUGGAGUGCAGUGGUGUGAUCUGGGCUCACUACAACCUCCGCCUUCUGAGUUCGGGUGAUUCUCCUGUCUCAGCCUCCAG